rnacentral:rRNA from 1 species
GGCAGUGCGGGUCUUACCAUGCAGUCGACGAUGAAGCCCAGCUUGCUGGGUGGAUUAGUGGCGAACGGGUGAGUAACACGUGAGCAACCUGCCCCUGACUCUGGGAUAAGCGCUGGAAACGGCGUCUAAUACUGGAUACGAACCAUGAAGGCAUCUUCAGUGGUUGGAAAGAUUUAUUGGUUGGGGAUGGGCUCGCGGCCUAUCAGCUUGUUGGUGAGGUAAUGGCUCACCAAGGCGUCGACGGGUAGCCGGCCUGAGAGGGUGACCGGCCACACUGGGACUGAGACACGGCCCAGACUCCUACGGGAGGCAGCAGUGGGGAAUAUUGCACAAUGGGCGCAAGCCUGAUGCAGCAACGCCGCGUGAGGGAUGACGGCCUUCGGGUUGUAAACCUCUUUUAGCAGGGAAGAAGCGAAAGUGACGGUACCUGCAGAAAAAGCACGGGCUAAAUACGUGCCAGCAGCCGCGGUAAUACGUGGGGGGGCAAGCAUUAUCCGGAUUUAUUGGUUGUAGAAA